GACGAACGCUGGCGGCGUGCCUAAUACAUGCAAGUCGAGCGGAUCUUCCCUUCGGGGAAGGUUAGCGGCGGACGGGUGAGUAACACGUAGGCAACCUGCCUGUAAGACCGGGAUAACAUUCGGAAACGAAUGCUAAUACCGGAUACGCAGCCUGAUCACAUGAUCGGGCUGGGAAAGACGGUGCAAGCUGUCACUUACAGAUGGGCCUGCGCCCCAUCAGCUAGUUGGUAAGGUAACGGCUUACCAAGGCGAUGACGGGUAGGGGACCUGAGAGGGUGACCCCCCACAAUGGAACUGAAACACGGUCCAUACACCUACGGGUGGCAGCAGUAGGGAAUAUUGGUAAAUGGGCGAAAGCCUGAACCAGCAACGCCGCGUGUGCGAUGAAGGCCUUCGGGUUGUAAAGCACUUUUCACCGGGAAGAGGAAGGACGGUACCGGUGGAAUCAGCCUCGGCUAACUACGUGCCAGCAGCCGCCGCAGUAA
rnacentral:rRNA from 1 species